rnacentral:lncRNA from 1 species
GGCCUCUAAUAGAGAGGAUUAAUUGUAGCACAAUAGCUGCAAAAAGAAGGUGAAAACUCUAUCCUAAGGGGUUUGUGUAAAGAAUGGAAGUUACACCAGUUAGAAAGACUUCCUAAAAUACUGGUAUAACUCCCAUACACUCUUUGGAUAUGGAUAUGGGUACCACUGGUGAAGUUUAGGACUGAGAUUCUAAAGAGAUCAUUUUACUUUUAAAUCUGUUAAAUUGGCUGUAAGUGGACUUUUACAGGCUCAGUUCUAAAAAGAUCAGAUGCAUCAGGCAGAGCCAACAAGAUUCAGAGUGAGCAAAAUAAAAGCCACUUACUGAGAAUGCUUUCAAUGGAGAACAAUCAUCAUGGCAGAAAAUAAUUAAAAUGAUCAGGAAUAAUGGCAGGCCACUUAAUACAGCCAGAAGAAGGAUGUUUGUUACAGAACUGCUAGUUAACCUACCAAAGAGACAGGAUUUAUCAUUGAGUAUUCCCGAAGUUGUGAUGGAAUUGGGUUAAUUCAGCGUAGACAAAAGCAGUAUAUUAAAACUUUCAACUGUGUGCAUUAACACUGUCUUUUCAUUAAUUAUUCCUUAGAAGAACCCAAGGACUUAACAGAAAAAAAACCACAAAGAAGGACAUCUCAGAAGCAGGUUCCUGUUUUCCUUCAGUGGAAAUUUACAGUCACUGCUGUCUGCCUGCUUUUCUUCCUCUUUAGUGAUGGCCAGCAGCCUACAUUCACCCAGCCAUGCUUCCCUGUCUGCAGAAAAGUCUGUCACAGCUUGGCAAACAGCAGCACACAGAAGAGAAGUGGUUUGUUCAAGUAAAUCCAUGGCAGAGCCACCAAAACCCACCAGGUAAUCCUGUGUUCCAGUCACUUGUUCUUCCUAUUAAUUGAUAAUAAUUCCUUCAGGAAGCCAACUCAAAAAUAAUUUAUUAUCAAGAAAUGGGGGAGAGUUCCUAUACCUAGACUUGAUACUUGUUACUGAUUUUCAUAACUUUGUGGCCUCCUUAUUGGUAAAAGAAGAAACAUUACCAAAGAUUAACUUUUAUUUACUAACUUUUCCCCCAGCUUUUGUACUACAGACCUGAUCGAAGCAUAUGAGUUAAUAAGUUCCCAAACUCUAGCAAAUAGGGCAAUAAAAGAGAAAAGAAAAGAGGGGUUUAUGAGUAC